rnacentral:lncRNA from 1 species
AAUUAGAUUAUAAUAAUAUUAAGCAAGCUUCAAUCAAAUUUAAAAAAACCUCAAGAAAUUUCAAACAAACAAUAAGAAUUCUUAAAGAAAUAUUACAAAGAUCACAAAUAUCACUCAAAUACAUCUCAAUUCAAUCUUAAUUUAAUUCUAGUUAAAAUCUUAUUGAACUUUAUUUAAACUUUAGGCCAAACCUAAUUAAAUCUUAAAUCCUAAUAAAAUCCUAAACCCUAAAAUCAAAUCCUAAAUAAAUCUUAAACCAAAUCCCAACCAAAUCUUAACCCAAAUUCUAACCAAAUCUUAACCAAACCCUAAUCUAAAUCCUAAAUCCUAAACCAAAUCCUAAUUCAAAUCCUAAAUCCUAAACCAAAUCCUAAUUCAAUUCCUAAAUCCUAAAUCAAAUCCUAAUCCAAAUCCUAAAUCCUAAACCAAAUCCUAAUCCAAACCCUAAAUAAAAUCCUAACCAAAUCCUAAACCAAUUCCUAAAUUGAAUCCAAAACAAAUCUUAAAUCAAACCCCAAAUAAAAUCCUAAUCAAAUCCUAAAAAAAAUUCUAAUACAAAUCCUAAAUUCUAAACCAAAUCCUAACCAAACCCUAAAUCCUAAAUCAAAUCCUAAUCAAAUCCUAAAUCCUAAAUCAAAUCCUAAUUCAAAUCCUAAACCUUAAAUCCUAAACCCUAAAUCAAAUCCUAAUUCAAAUCCUAAACCUUAAAUCCUAAACCAAACUCUAACCAAAUCCUAAUCCAAAUCCUAAACCCUAA